CUUCUUUGGGGCCUUCUGCUUUUUCCCUGCUUCCACCACGACUGUCUUCUGGCUGGGAAGUUGCUGUAGGAGAGAAAAAAGAGAGAAUUACACAAUGGACAAUGACAAGUAUUAUGUCUGGAAACUAGCCACAUGUAUGGAAUUUUCAGAAAUGCUAAAAAUCAUAGAAAUAGCAUUAAAAGACAUUAGUCAAAUAUGGAGAACCAAUAAGAAUAGGGAUUGAGAGGAGAAUUAUAAACUGGAAAUUGGGAGGUGGAACCCCAUACCCAGAAAACAGCAGAGGAGAUGGCACGGCAAGGGUAAAGAAUACUGAUUAGGCUCUGUAUCCCA
rnacentral:lncRNA from 1 species